AUUGUGAAAUGUUUCUAGAACCUUGCUACUCAAACUCUGAUCCACUGAGAGCGGCGUGGGCAUCCGUCCAUCCAUCCAGCCAGCCAGCCAGCCAUCCAUUCAUCCAUCCAUCCACCCACCCACCCACCUUGAUAGCAGCAUGGGCAGCCCUGCCCCAGGCAUGCUGAAUCAGACUCUGCCUUUUAACAAGAUCCUCAGGUGACUUGUGUGGACUUUCAAAGACAGAGAAGCGCUAAUCCUGGCCAUUCUAAAUUUUCCUUCUGGGCAUUGUAUGCAUCCUUCCUGGAGUUUCUUUGGUGAACAUCUGAUGACUGAUACCUUUAACAGACUGCAGUUCUUUCUCAUUAUCCAAUCUGUGAAGAGGCUGACAUGUUCACUUAAGGAAUCUUGGAUACGUCAGGGGUCAACUGAUUCCAUUUAGCACAUCAAAUUAUACCCAGAAUACUGUGUUCCACUCUGCUGUUUGAACAAAGCCUGAAAAUGACCUUGAUAGCUUAUAAAGGAUACUCAUAAAGUUGUAAACUCUAAUAUGCCAGUUCACUUAAAGUUUGACUUUUAACAGACUGAUGGUCCAGCAGUAUGAGAAUAAAUUUAAUGUAGUGGACUACAAUGAGUAUUCUGGCAGAAUGUGCAAAGCACAGAUUCAGUUGGCUUUGAAUGGAAUCAUCAAGUUGGUGAUAACCGAAUGCAAAUGAAUUAAUGAUUGGCAGGCAAGAGCACUAUAUGAUUUUAAAAUGAUAGUAGCAUUCUUACUCUGAGAUAUUUCCAUUAGAUACAAAUUCCCUAAAUGUUAUUAAGCAAAAUCAGCCCUUGACUGGAAUAAAAUUUCACCUUUUCCUCUU
ensembl:lncRNA